rnacentral:rRNA from 1 species
CCUACGGGUGGCAGCAGUAGGGAAUAUUGCUCAAUGGGGGAAACCCUGAAGCAGCAAAGCCGCGUGGAGGAUGAAGGUUUUCGGAUUGUAAACUCCUUUUGUUAGAGAAGAUAAUGACGGUAUCUAACGAAUAAGCACCGGCUAACUCAGUGCCAGCAGCCGCGGUAAUACGGAGGGUGCAAGCGUUACUCGGAAUCACUGGGCGUAAAGAGCGCGUAGGCGGGAUAGCAAGUCAGAUGUGAAAUCCUAUGGCUGAAACAUAGAACUGCAGUUGAAACUGUUAUUGUUGAGUAUGGGAGAGGUAGGUGGAAUUCUUGGUGUAGGGGUAAAAUCCGUAGAGAUCAAGAGGAAUACUCAUUGCGAAGGCGACCUGCUAGAACAUAACUGACGCUGAUGCGCGAAAGCGUGGGGAGCGAACAGGAGUAGAUACCCUUGUAGUC